CAAUUUAGCUGGUAUACCAUUGACGUUUCUGCUCUGCAUCAGAUUCAUUUUGUGCUUCAGUUCACAAUCGGGUAUUCUAUCAGUGUUCUGACUGAUACAUUUCUCUGGUACUUUUCUCCGUGAAGCCAGCCUAAUUUUCUCCAGUAAAAUGCAAGAUUAACUUAGAUUAGAUUAGAUUUAAAUUGAACAUAAGGAAAUGCAGCUGGCUACAUUAUUUCUAUGAUUAACAUUAGAAAUAUGAUGGCCAUGCAUCGUUUUUGCAAAAAAAUACCUUGCUUUUUCAUUGUAAACUCAUUUACUUGUGUGGCUGUCAGCCAAAUAGCGUUGCACUUCUGUUGUCAUCUGAUGAAAAUGAAGCUAUUUUCUGCCGAAUGUGUUGCACUAAUGUAUUUUCUGUGAAGGAAAACUAUAGUUGCACGUCCCUGAUACUCUAUUGAAGAAAAACAACAACACUGUUGGUUUAUAAUUUAAAACGCAACCGCUGUCAAUACACAUCGGGAUUUACCUGCUCCCGCUUUCUUUGUGCUAUUUACAAACACACACUUGACUGGAUCAACUGUUCCGGGGAAAUAAGGUGUGUUACUCCCCGUCCACUCUGCGGCGGAUCCAAGAGAGAGCACCGGAGGGGAGAGCGAGGGGCGCUGGGACACAUAGUCACGUUGCUUCCACUCUGCACCUGCUGCAUCAUGGGUAACGUCGCUGGCAAGGACGACCAUGGCCCUACAGGUUCCCUACAUGAACGUACACACACACACUCUCUCUCAGUGUCACAUGUCAUUAUAUUAAACUCUGACAGUAACUCUGAUUAGAACCUUCUCUUCCUGUUUCCCAUGUUUCUACAAUAUUUCCUUUCAAGCUGUUUGUACUCCUACACAAUUUGUUCAUGAUCUUUUAUGCCUCCCCUUCUCGAUCUGUCUACCUGUGAUUCUCUAUUGUAGCAUUGCUGACUUCUUUUUCUGACACACACACACACACACACACACAUAUACACUUCCUCCCCUAAACACUUGUUUAAAACCCUG
ensembl:lncRNA